AUCCAACCAACGAGUCUUAAAUAGAACUAAACGUGCGUCCUGGAU
rnacentral:hammerhead_ribozyme from 1 species